rnacentral:rRNA from 1 species
GAAGGUGGCAAGCGUUAUUCGGAUUUACUGGGCGUACAGGGAGCGUAGGCGGUUUGGUAAGCCCUCUGUGAAAUCUUCAGGCUUAACCUGGAAAAGUCGGAGGGGACUGCUGGGCUAGAGGACGGGAGAGGAGCGCGGAAUUCCCGGUGUAGCGGUGAAAUGCGUAGAGAUCGGGAGGAAGGCCGGUGGCGAAGGCGGCGCUCUGGAACGUUUCUGACGCUGAGGCUCGAAAGCGUGGGGAGCAAACAGGAUUAGAUACCCUGGUAGUCCACGCCUUAAACUAUGAAUACUAAGUGUCGGCGGUUUACCGCCGGUGCCGCAGCUAACGCAUUAAGUAUUCCGCCUGGGAAGUACGGCCGCAAGGUUG